GGCCAACUGGUCUAAUGGUUAAGAUGGGAUCCCAAAAUCUGGUCGCCUAUCCCCCGGGCAAUACGGGGGGGUAGGCGACCAGGCCUGAUCCAGAUCUAGGUUCGAUUCCUAGGUUGGCCG